UUUGAUGGCGACCGGCGCACGGGUGAGUAACACGUAUCCAACCUGCCGAUGACUCGGGGAUAGCCUUUCGAAAGAAAGAUUAAUACCCGAUGGCAUAGUUCUUCCGCAUGGUAGAACUAUUAAAGAAUUUCGGUCAUCGAUGGGGAUGCGUUCCAUUGGGUUGUUGGCGGGGUAACGGCCCACCAAGCCUUCGAUGGAUAGGGGUUCUGAGAGGAAGGUCCCCCACAUUGGAACUGAGACACGGUCCAA
rnacentral:rRNA from 1 species